rnacentral:lncRNA from 1 species
UAAAAGCCUCAUAGCUUUCACUUGGCAAGAGGUGCAGGCGUUAAGGGUCUGCCUGUGGAACGCUUCCCCACAGAAAGCCUGCUUACGUCUCCCUCCAGGCUGCACGUGUGGCAGGACUCCAGCUGCACUGUGUGCCCAUCUGGCUCUUACUGCAACUCUGCUGGCCUCACAGCACCCUCCGGACUCUGCUCAGCUGGAUACUACUGCCUGUCUGGAGCUUCCUCACCAUCUCCAGCUGGCGUGUGGGAGAAAGGAGGCCCUUGUCCUGUGAGCCAUUUCUGUCCGGAAGGGACGAGCUUUCCCCUACCCUGCCUUGCAGGGACUUACAACAACCUCACCAGACAAGCUGCAUGCUUCCCUUGUGCAGCAGGGUACUACUGCCCAGAAAAUACCUCCAGCUACAGUACGAAUCCUUGCCCAGCUGGCUUUUACUGCCCCAAAGGAACCAGAUUUGCCACUGAAUUUCCCUGUCCCCGGGGCUACUAUAACCCUGAUCCCAUGACACAGAGUUUGGAUAGCUGCUUGCCAUGUCCGCCUGGGCACUACUGUGGGAAGGAGAACUUGACAGGUGUGUCAGGCAAGUGUGAUGCAGGCUGGUUCUGUGUCUCAGCUGCUUGGACCUCACAGCCUUUUGAUCUGGAUAACUACACCAAUGCCAACUGCCUCUGUCCAGCCACUGCCACUGGAGGAAAGUGCCUAGCUGGUUUCUACUGCCCCAAAGGAAGCCCAGAGCCUCUUCCCUGCCCUCCAGGGUUUUACUGCAAUGCCUCAGGUCUGUCUGUCCCCAGUGGGCAGUGUACUGCUGGGUUUUACUGCAAAGGUGGUGCAGCUCUCCCUCAACCAACUGAUGGUGCAACUGGGAAUAUCUGCCCUGUGGGGACAUACUGCAGUGAGUAUUUGGUGCUGACCAGGAGCCAAAAUUGCUAG